AUCACAUUCCCAUACUUACUUGAAAUCCCUAGUUUAGGAAUUUAGGAGCUGCGCUAACUCUUCGGAGAAAACGCCGUCGGCGGCUCGCCCUCCACCGAUCAUCACCACCGGCGUCUCUCUCUCAUUCUUCUUCCUCUCAACAUUUUUCACCUUCGUUUCAACAUUUGGGAGUCUUAAUUUGGAGGUGAAUCAGCGGCGUCACCAAUUCGCCCGCCGUCGCCGUCCCCCUCUGCAGCUCUUUUCUCCGGCGAGAUUUCUCACUCCGGUGAGCUCUCCGUCAGGUUCAUCACUCGGCGGAGCUGUCGAUUCGGGGAAAGAACAAAAGGCAUCGCCUUUUUUUCCGUGAGCUAGGCGUUCUCGGCGCUGCACGGGGAAGCUCCAGGGUCGCCGCCGCGCUCACGCCGUCAGCCUCGGCGAGUAAAGCCGCUGACCGCCCCCCUCCGCUGCGCCGGACAGCCCCUCAUUCUCCAGCUAAGUCACCCUUCCCAUCCCCUUUACUUCAUUUGAUGUUCCGGAGUUUCAAAAUUUCCUUGGUGCAGUAGCUAUGUUGGGGAUUUCAUCUCAUCUUCUUGAAGGAUUUUAUUCUUAUGUUCUAAGUAUUUGAGAGCUUACUGGAAUGAGUCCUUCCCCUGGUUUGAUUGUUUCUCUUGCAACACUAGCUAUUGAUUCAUCAUGUCUUGUGCUCUAGCUACUGUAUUGAGGUUUCAUCUAUAACUCUCUUAUUCUCAUGCUACCGAUGUGAUUGCCUAUCAUGAUGCAUCAAGGGGGUUGUGGGAUUACCUUGUCCUGUCGAUUCCUCUUGGUUCCUUGUCUGCCACUCCUUGCUCCUCUCCAUUCCCCCUUGCUGCACUCUUUGGUCUUGUAUGAAGCUUAUGGUGUCAAAGUGGUGGGGAGAGAGGAGGGGGUGAAGGCAGCUUAUAUAGAUUUUGGGGCUGUAUCUUAGUCCCCUUUCAAGCUUUGUAAGUAGGUCAUCUAUGACUUUUUCGUGUAACUUAUGGGGCUGCUCCUAUGGCUGUCCUCCAGCCAGGCUUGUCUGAUUUCAUGGCUGUAUAUAUGCAUGUGUUCCUGCAGGAGCUCUCCCCUUUUGGGCAUACUAUGAGCUCAUGUUCUAUUCACUAUUUGUCUCUACUCCCUUAUUGGGAAAUUUGGAAUAUCUCAGUCUAGACUCUGUUAUCCAUUCCUUGGUCUUGGCAGAAUGAUGACAUGUUGCAUUGCUCUCAUUGCUAUUUUGUGGAACUUCCAUUUCUUAGUUUUUUUUUAAUGUGAGAAUCCUCUAACCCCUUUUUGGUGUUAAAUCUUGCAGGUACAGGCUGCCUUCUUGGAGCUUCGUGGGGCACAAAAUUCGAGAAUGAUGGAGAAGAGAAGAGAAAAGGGUGUGUGUAAAAAUCUGCCAUAUUCAGAAAAUGAGUUGAUCAACUGGGCUGACAAACGGAUCAGGAGAAGGAGCCAAAAUGCUGCGCAAAUAGAUCAAGUUGGAGCAAAUGGCAGGCAGCGGGAGCACCCAAUGAGAAGACUGAUGUGUCGCAUAAGAAUGGUCCUCAAGGGCAAGGGGUAAAGAAGACUUUUCAGAAAACAAAUGCCUUAAGGAUCAAGACCUCACGCCUUCCUAUAAAUGGAGAUAGAGAAGGAGGAAGGAAGCAGCUUCCAAGGCGACACUCAUUAGUUUUCAGCUAUCUUCUAGAGCUGGAAUUGGGAGCUCCAAACACUUCAUCUUCCUGAUUUCCGUCACACACACUUGGUCAUGUUCUGGUUUAGUUUAGUUUAGUUUAGUUUAGUUUAGUUGUCGUUUGGUGUUGGUUUUAGCUUUAAUCGCUUUCGGUUCUGUUAUUCCGUUUCGAGAAAUAGUGAUGAGACAAUUUCCAGCUUUUGUUUAAAAAAAAAAAAAAAAUUCCAGCUUUUGUUGUUUA